rnacentral:rRNA from 1 species
UACGGAGGGUGCAAGCGUUAUCCGGAUUCACUGGGUUUAAAGGGUGCGUAGGCGGAUAGGUAAGUCCGUGGUGAAAUCCUGCAGCUUAACUGCAGAACUGCCAUGGAUACUAUUUAUCUUGAAUGUCGUGGAGGUUAGCAGAAUAUGUCAUGUAGCGGUGAAAUGCUUAGAUAUGACAUAGAACACCAAUUGCGAAGGCAGCUGGCUACACGAAUAUUGACACUGAUGCACGAAAGCUUGGGGAUCAAACAGG